ensembl:lncRNA
UUUGGCCGCCCGUCCCAAGCGCUGGACAACAAAAAUAGGGAGAUGGAACAAAAUUUGGCCUAUAGAAAAGAAAGAUAAUGUGGAAAUUAAAUCAUUAAGUUCACUUAAGCAAAUCCUUCGACACCAAGGAGAAUGGUCCGGCAGCAGCUCAGUCCAUGCUUCAACCGCCCCCCUCCAUACCCUCCAGCCCCAGCCCACUUCCCUAAGGUUCCUUGUGGGAUUCCUCAGCAACACCAAUGCACUGACCAUCACUCUAUGUUCUCCUAGGUUCUGAUGAAGAUCUGCAGGGGCCUGCACAUGGUGGUGUGGAGAAUAUGAAAUCAGAACUUGUAAGACGUAUUUCUUUUUCUGGAAAUUUUUUUUUGGUUUGCUUUUUGUUUUUUCUGGGGCUUCUAGACUAUCAAGUAAAUAUCAUUUUUGACUGCCAUCAUGGAUCAGGCUUCAGUUAGUCAUGGACUCUAGCGACUGGUCACGACACACACAAACACCAAGAGGCACAAAAACUGCCAUGAGAGAAUGAGGUCAGAGCUCCUCCUCCUUCCACUACCAGCUGCCGACUGAAGGCUGCUCACCCUGGCUGAUGCCUAGUACCCACAAAGCCUUUGAUGGCAGUCAAAGGACGGCGUCAUUUACAAAUUGUUUGCUAGUGAGUGUAUUUCUCAGUAGCUACCUUUUCUCCCUGAAAAAUGGUUUUGUAUUUGCCAGCCAACAUGGACACUUGCUAAAUAUUCCCCCAAAAAAACCCAGUGCAUUUUCCACAAGCAUCCUCUAUGCUUUCUUUCGGGGCCAGUUACCUGAUCACUGUUUUGUUGUUUUUUUUUUCUCUUAUUGCAGAGAAAGUCGAACGCCCAGUCUCACCUCUGUUUGGCUAUCCGUCCCAAGCACUGGACCACAAAAAUAUGGAGAUGGACCAAAAUUUGUCGUGCAGGAAAUAAAGGUAGUGUGGAAAUUAAAUCAUUAAGUUCACUUAACCAAAUAAUCCCAGUUUAGUGGGUGGGUGCCCUGAGCUUCUUGGAGCCCCUGAUGUAAACAGGGAUAAAGGACAUAUGAGAUUAGUCUGGAAUCUGAGGCAGGGCGUGAUGAGGAGGCUGUGAGUUUGGGGUAGGGAGGGAAAAAAGGGCCUGGCUGAAAGGAAGGCAGGGUCCUGGGCUUUCUACAGUCCAGCCUGGGAAGGACAGAGCCCAGGGAGGCCCAGAGCUCCCUCCUGACACCUGCACAUAGAAGUGUAGUCUGGCCAGACAGUGCUCUGUAGACUGCUGUGGGGUUGGGGAGUGGCUUCUCCUAGGUACAGAACCUCAGGCACCUGCAGGAUGCAGGGCUCCAGGGUCCCCCGGAUGCCUGUUGAUGGCUCUCCUCUGAGGGGGUGUAAAUUGGCUCGCUGGGCACCCACAAUGGGCAAGGCACUUGCUCUCAGUAUAAUGCACUAAACACUGACAAAUCCACACCCAUUUAAGAUAGGCACAAUUACAAUUACUAUCCCCAUUUUAGAGCUAGGGAAACUGAGACACUGAGCAGUUAACUUGUCCAGGCUCCAUAGAUAAACAGUCAGGGUAGAGCUGGGGUCUCAACACAAGCAGGCUCCCUCCGGAGUGUGAGCUCCUAGCUACUGGUUGUCCCACUGCCCUUGUCCAGCCUUGGCUGUCUGGGGUGGCAGUUAUGCCUUUGGGCUGCAGUUGAACGACCAGUUGCCUUUUCCAGACCGGCUCCC